rnacentral:rRNA from 1 species
AGUGAACGCUGGCGGUAGGCCUAACACAUGCAAGUCGAACGGCAGCACAGGAGAGCUUGCUCUCUGGGUGGCGAGUGGCGGACGGGUGAGGAAUACAUCGGAAUCUGCCCAGUCGUGGGGGAUAACGUAGAGAAACUUACGCUAAUACCGCAUACGACCUUCGGGUGAAAGAGGGGGAUCGCAAGACCUCUCGCGAUUGGAUGAGCCGAUGUCGGAUUAGCUAGUUGGCGGGGUAAUGGCCCACCAAGGCGACGAUCCGUAGCUGGUCUGAGAGGAUGAUCAGCCACACUGGAACUGAGACACGGUCCAGACUCCUACGGGAGGCAGCAGUGGGGAAUAUUGGACAAUGGGCGCAAGCCUGAUCCAGCCAUACCGCGUGGGUGAAGAAGACCUUCGGGUUGUAAAGCCCUUUUGUUGGGAAAGAAAUCUUUCAGGCUAAUACCCUGGGAGGAUGACGGUACCCAAAGAAUAAGCACCGGCUAACUUCGUG